rnacentral:tRNA from 1 species
AAUAGAAUGCCUGAAAAAGGAUUAUCCUGAUAGGAUAAAUAAUAUAGGUAACAUCUAUUUCUAUUA